rnacentral:lncRNA from 1 species
UAUAUAUAUAUAUUUUAGAUAGGAUCUCACUCUGUCACCCAGACUGGAGUGCAGUGGCGCGAUUACAGCUCACUACAGCCCCAGGCUCAAGUGAUCCCCCCAUCUCAGCCUCCCAAGUAGCUGGGACUACAAGCACAACCAACCCAGUGUAAUUUUCCUAUUUUUUGUAGAGAUGGAGUUUUGCCAUGUUGCCCAGGCUGGUGUCGAACUUCUGAGCUCCAGCAAUCUGCCUGCCUCGGCCUCCCAAAUUGCUGGGAUUACAGGUCUGAGCCAUCAUGUGUUAUGUAUUUUUUACAAAUAUCUUCAGUCGGGCGUGGUGGCUUGCUUUCCUUGUUAACUGGAACAAAAUUAUCCUCACAUAGUAACAUGACAAAUAUGUAAAUGUAUGAACUGCAUUCCCCAUUCACCUGAGGAAAGUGCCUCCAGAGCCUGGAGAUUAUCUAAAUGCUAACAUUAUGAACUCUUGGGUUUGAGACGAGCCUGGGCAACACAGCGAGACCUCGUCUCUAUUUAAAAAAAAAAAAAAGAAAGUAAAAAUAAAAUAAAAAUAAAGAUCUUCUUAAAUGACUUUAUAAUAUUGAUCAUAAACUACAAUAAAAGUUUUGGUCAGAAAUCUCUCCUCAUAAACCAAAAUAUUUACUCAGAAUAUCCAAGGGCAGAAUUACCGGAUCAAAGAACAUGGCCAUCUUUAGGAUUCCUGAUAAUUCCCCCAUCAAACUGCUUCUCAAAAGGUUUGUAACAAUUUAUAUACACACCAGUGACAUAU